GGGGCUCUUGAGCUGCUUCGUUGAUCGAGCCAACUCUCACUCUAUAGAGUGUACUUUCACUUCAAUAAACCUGCACUUUCGUUGCUUCCUUCCUUUGUUGCUUUGUGCAUUUUAUUAAAUCCUUUGUCCAACACGCCAAGAACCUGGACAACUCACAGUCACGACUUCCUAUCUGGUAACACUCAUUCCUUUGCAAAAUGUUUCUUGAUCUCUGUUAAAAGGCAAGUACAUGGUAAGGUGCUCUUAUUCAUGUACUCCUCCAGGUGAAUGAUUUGAUGUCUUCCCUUCCUAAAACCAGGUUUUUAUGGGAGAGGAAGAAGUGGGGAGUAUGAAGACCCCAGGAAAAGAGUUUUUAAAGAGGAGGAGAUCCAAUUUCACACCUUUGAGUAGUCCAGCUCUGGAAUCCAGUACAGGAUUUUUGGAAGAUUCACCAAGAUCCAUCUUUCCUUUUCCUGCUAUUCUUUCCAAAUAGGUAAAGAAGUAGCUGAGGGAAACGCAGCUUUGUGAGGGAAGCCUGGAGCGUGAGAAAUCUGCUCACACUGGAUUCUGCCUCGGGCUCGACAGAAUGUCACAGCAGACCCGCGAUGUGACAGGCUCACUGGUGUACACACGGCUGUGUCGGCCAUGGCCCUGUCAGCUACCCUGAAGCUUCAGAUCUACUUCCUGGCUCAGACCACCUGCAACACACUGGUUUGGCAUCUAGCGGGUUGUGCUUGCAGAACAGCAGGCUGGCUCCGUGCACCUGCUCAGUGGGGCUGGGCUUUAGCAACCUGCAUUGAGGCUGCUCUUCUUAACUUUUCUCUAACUUGCUUCAUGAAAGUUAAUUCUGCUGGGACCCCACGAGGCAGCGGAGAGCCCACUCUGCCCAUGAUUGGUGCCCUGGGCUGGCACGCAGAGUUUAAUGGAGGAGCCCGGGAGAGAGGGAUGCCUGAGAACCAGGGAUGUGGGCUGGAGCAGUGCCACCUCCUCUAACUCACCCGCAAGCCCAGCCAACCGGCUAAACCUUCCCCACAGAGCCUCAGUCUCCUUAUCUGUAAAAUGGAUUACCUGGCACUUGUCCAGUCUUUCUGCAGUCAACAUCGCCCAGAUUCCAUGCAGAACCCUUUGCAGACUCCUGAGGAGGUACAGACAAGGAGUGUCCCUGUCCUCAUGGUGCUACAUGAAAAGGUACAGACAAGGAGUGUCCCUGUCCUCAUGGUGCUACAUGAAAAGGCAAGUGACCCAACAGGCAGCAUUGGAGAAAGUGCCUAACUGUGGAAAGGCCAGUGGGAGAGGCUCGGUGGAGGAGGAACUUGCUGGACUAGAGAGGUCAGGGAAAGCUUCUUGGAGGAAGUGAGGUAUGAGCUGGAAGUAGAAAUACCAGGAAGCCCAGGGCAGGCUUGGGAAUGGGCCAGGCAUGCUCAGGUCCCAGGGCAUAGAGUAACAAUCUGGCUGGAAGAAGGAAUGGAGGAACAAGCUGAUAGGAGGGUGAUUUCAUGUGGACUGGACCCCAUGUUCAGGAGGUGACCACAUAAGCCAGGAUGGGUGGAUAGAGUUAGCUAAUCCUGGAAGAAAUCAUGGAAUAAAAUUAAAUAUAUGCAUUGCUGGCUACAGAUCCAGUUCCUCCUUCCCGGGUCUCUGUGUCCACCCUUCUUGGGGGCCAUCCCACACCUCCCUGCUACUGCCACAACCUUUGCCCUUUCUAAGCAGGUGCUGGGUAGAGAAAGAGGUACAGUGGAACUUGCCAAAUGUCCUCGCCGUGCAACCUCUUGCAGAGGGCCAUGUGUGAUCUUCAGAUCCCAAGAUUUUCUUGAUAUUUAUAAAAGCACCUUUGCCUCCAUUCCCAAACUGAAUUCUCCAUCCCUGGGCUCCAUCUUGAAGGGAAAUGAUCACAGCUGUGGCGAUUGUGUGUCUCCUACUGGUGAGAGCUGGUAACUACAGCAUCUAAUUGGCCGUUUUCCAGACCUCUGCAGGGGAUCAGGACAGCAUAGUGUGUCCUCUGUCUUGAGAAGUUCGCAUCCAGCUCUGCCAUGGACCAGCCAUGCUCAUGGAUUGCCUCUCAUUUUGCUACGGACAGGAGACAGGAAAAUACUGGGUAGAAGAGGGCGGUUCCCGACAAAGGCCCCAACCUCAAGCCUGAAGACCCACGACCCUAAAUGAGGACAGCCAUUUCUGAUUUUGUGCCCAAAAAUUUGCCUUUUGGCCUGCCACACCCAACAUCUUGCCCCUAUAUAAACCCGAGACCUUAGCGGGCACACACACAAUCAGCCAAAUGUUGGGAUUAGCAGACCAGUGGACCAGCGGACCAGCAGACCAGUUAACGGUGGAACAACGCAGCAGAGAAAGAGAGAAGAGGAGGGAUGUCUGAAUGCCAAGGGGAAUUCGGCCGCGGGCAGUUAGAAAAGUCUGGCUGCUGGGCGGCCCGACUCUAGGGGAAGACCACCUUCCCACUCCAUCCCCUGUUCUGGCUCCCCAUCCAUCUCCCUGAGAGCCACCUCUACCACUCAAUAAAACCUUUCAUUCAUCCUUUGAGCCCA